UCCAGACUCCUACGGGAGGCAGCAGUGGGGGAUAUUGCACAAUGGGGGGAACCCUGAUGCAGCGACGCCGCGUGGGUGAAGAAGCGCCUCGGCGCGUAAAGCCCUGUCAGCAGGGAAGAAAAUGCCGGUACCUGAAGAAGAAGCCCCGGCUAACUACGUGCCAGCAGCCGCGGUAAUACGUAGGGGGCAAGCGUUAUCCGGAUUUACUGGGGGUAAAGGGGGCGCAGACGGCAGCGCAAGCCAGGAGUGAAAGCCCGGGGCCCAACCCCGGGACUGCUCUUGGAACUGCGCGGCUGGAGUGCAGGAGGGGCAGGCGGAAUUCCUGGUGUAGCGGUGAAAUGCGUAGAUAUCAGGAGGAACACCGGCGGCGAAGGCGGCUUACUGGACGGCAACUGACGCUGAGGCUCGAAAGCGUGGGGAGCAAACAGGAUUAGAUACCCCUGUA
rnacentral:rRNA from 1 species